rnacentral:rRNA from 1 species
UACGGAGGGUGCAAGCGUUAAUCGGAAUUACUGGGCGUAAAGGGUGCGCAGGCGGCCAAGUGUGUUAGGUGUGAAAGCCCGGGGCUUAACCCCGGAAUUGCACCUAAAACUACAUGGCUAGAGCAUUGGAGAGGGUAGCGGAAUUCACGGUGUAGCAGUGAAAUGCGUAGAUAUCGUGAGGAACACCAGAGGCGAAGGCGGCUACCUGGACAAUUGCUGACGCUGAGACACGAAAGCGUGGGUAGCAAACAGG